CUGCGGGUUUCUGGCCGGCCCCGCCCCGCUCCCCGCUUGCUGUAUUGGCGCAGCGCGCACAGCCUCGGUCUUUCUGCCCGGGCCUUGGAGGCCGACCCUUCUGGACUCGGUGCCCAGCCGUGCGGCUGCCUCGGACCCAAGCGCAGGUUGAAAACUGCAAGAAAGAAAUUAGUGAACUGAGGGGCUCCAAGGUGAAGUAGUCUCCACGUAGUGCCCUGGCUUGCCGGCCGCCCGCUUUGUGGCUGAGAUAGGUGAGGCCCCGUUUGACAGGUGAAGAAUGGGGCCCACGUGAGAGUGUCCGUGAAUUGUAGUAAUUGGCGGUGCUGAAGGUAGACUCCCGAAGUCUCCCAUCAGCAUAUAGAGUCCUCUCCUGCCCCUUCCUGACUCUCGAGGGCUAGUGUAAGGCAUGUUAGGCAUUUUUAAGUAAGCAGGGAGAAGGAAGAUUUAAAGGAUGUUCAUAAGAAUAUGUUGUCAGAGUUGCCUGGAACCCUCUGCAUGCUAGGACGAGUUCUUUGCUAGUAGCUAGUCAAGAUGUUGUUAACCUGUACAUUUUUGUAUGUUGGUAAUUUCCCGCAAUCUUAAAUAAAGUCUUUCCUGUGUCAAUUUCA